rnacentral:tmRNA from 1 species
GGGGGUGAAGGGCUUCGAUAGGAUUUUAAAAUUAAAUACGCAGGCCGAGGAUGUCUCGUAACCUCGAAAAAUAAUCCCCGAGACAAGGCAAAUAAUAACUGCCGAAACAAAUUUUACUCCUGCUUUCGCUUUAGCCUAAGCAGCAUCGGUCGCUUAACGUCCAAUAGGGCGAUACCGGUGUCAACCAUUGGGCUUUAACCCGCGGAAUUCUUCGCCUCGGGCGGAAAUUAAGAAGAAACAGAACUUUCUUUUUUCGGUUGUUUUGAGAGAAUUUUCUGAAAAAAUUAAGCAACAUACGCCUGUAGAAAUAUUUAAUCAAAAAAUUCUAGAUGCGAGUUCAACUCUCGCCAUCUCCAUAA